rnacentral:rRNA from 1 species
UACGUAGGGUGCGAGCGUUAAUCGGAAUUACUGGGCGCAAAGCGUGCGCAGGCGGUGUGUUAAGUCUGAUGUGAAAGCCCCGGGCUCAACCUGGGAAUGGCAUUGGAAACUGGCUCGCUGGAGUGUGGCAGAGGGGGGUGGAAUUCCGCGUGUAGCAGUGAAAUGCGUAGAGAUGCGGAGGAACACCGAUGGCGAAGGCAGCCCCCUGGGCCAACACUGACGCUCAGGCACGAAAGCGUGGGGAGCAAACAGG